CACCAUUUCUAUGCCACCUCCAGCCCACCACCGCACCACCACACCUCCCUCUCUUCUUCUUUUUCUUCUUCUUUUUUCUUCUUCUUUCUUUCUUUCCUUUUUCUUUCUUUCUUUCCCUUUUCUUCUUCCCUGCAACUGGGUCUGCGUCACUGCCAGCGACUGCAGCAGCUCCAGCAAGCCUCUGACCACCGGAUUGCGCCUCUGCCGCCGCUCCAGCGUGCCUCNNNN
rnacentral:lncRNA from 1 species